rnacentral:rRNA from 1 species
GACGAACGCUGGCGGCGUGCUUAACACAUGCAAGUCGAACGGAAAGGCCCUGCUUUUGUGGGGUGCUCGAGUGGCGAACGGGUGAGUAACACGUGAGUAACCUGCCCUUGACUUUGGGAUAACUUCAGGAAACUGGGGCUAAUACCGGAUAGGAGCUCCUGCUGCAUGGUGGGGGUUGGAAAGUUUCGGCGGUUGGGGAUGGACUCGCGGCUUAUCAGCUUGUUGGUGGGGUAGUGGCUUACCAAGGCUUUGACGGGUAGCCGGCCUGAGAGGGUGACCGGCCACAUGGGGACUGGGAUACGGCCCAGACCCCUACGGGAGGGAGGAGUGGGGAAUAUUGCACAAGGGGCGGAAGCCUGAUGCAGAAACGCCGGGGGGGGGAUGACGGCCUUCGGGUGGUAAACCGCUUUCGCCUGGGACGAAGGGUGGGUGACGGUAAUGGGGAAAGAAGCACCGGCUAACUACGU